rnacentral:ncRNA from 1 species
GCAUGUGCAUAUAUGGAUGUAUAUGGUAAUAAAUAAUACAAAUAGACGGUGAUAUUUGCGGUUUCUAUACUUUAUUCAAGUUAUGGCCUAACCGUCGAUAACAGUGAAGAUAUAAGGAAAUCUAGCGUAUAGGUGUAACUAUCCGUAACAUAUUUUUACACUCAAAGUCCCCUUAAGUGGGGCUACAGUCCACAGAAGGUGCUAAACCUGCAAGGGUGAAAAAGUUACGGUAGGUUAUUCCUCGGAUUUAGGUUGUUUGAGAUUGCAGCCCAAAGAGGGUGGUAAACUUCAUCUAAGGCUAAAUAUGACUACAAGAGCGAUAGCAAACAAUUACCGUGAGGGAAAGUUGCAAAGAACUUUGAAGAGAGAGUUCAAGGAUGUGAAACCGCUAAAAUGGAAACCGAUAGAGUUAACGGAACUUUAUCGGUAUCCAACCAAUCAAUUUAGCAAUCUUAUUUUGUAAUUAUUCAUUAAUGUUAUUUAUUAAUGAAUAAAAUAAUAUUAAUGUUAAAUUACUAUAUGCGCAAAUUGGUGUAUUUACCAGUAGUAUGCAUCGCGAGCUUCAUUUUAGCAUAUUAAUACAAGUUAAUUUAAUAGACCAAUUCUUUCAAUUGCAAUCAUAAUGAAAUAUAA